rnacentral:tRNA from 1 species
GGACGCGUAGCUCAUUGGCAGAGCGGUUGUCUUAUAAACAACAGGUACUUGGUUCGAUUCCAAGCGCGUCCA